UGUUACUUAGUUGUUCACCCCAGUGAAGCAGCAUGUGAGCCAGUUGGCGGGCAGGUAUGGUACCAUUCCUAGACUUGUCUGCAGCCUGAAAGGCCUGUAUCACCUCCUUCGGAAGAUCCUCCGCCCUAGUCUGUAGAUGCAUCACCUCCAAAAAGUCAGCAAACGACAUCUUCCCACCUGGAAAUCUUGUUUUAGUUGUCUCCCUUCAUUUUCGCACGACCAUUUCAUGGCCCUUCCUUCCCGUUCCUUCGACAUCCGUGAACUGGAAAUAGGAGACAUCGUUAUAAUGAUCGAGGUUCCUUAAAGAAGAAGACAAGUCCUUGACAUUUACCAUUCCCAAAGCGCCUCGGCACAAGGGAAACAAACCGUUUCGUCGCUACAAAGACACUGAAUCAUCGCUGCGGAACAGAGAAAAAAGGAACAAGGUAGAUGACACGGAAAAAAACAACGACAGUUUCACGGAAGAAUCAGCAAUUUACAUGAGCAGACCUUCGCCCGUCCUUCGCCUGGACAGAAUCAUCGCUGCAACAUUGUAGACACACAAAUAUCAUUUAAUUGACACAAA